rnacentral:rRNA from 1 species
ACUGUGCAAAGGUAGCAUAAUCAUUUGUCUCUUAAUUGGAGGCUGGUAUGAAUGAUUGGACGAGGUAGGAGCUGUCUCAUUAUUAUAAUUAUAAUAAUUUAGCUUUUUAGUUAAAAGGCUAAAAUUUUUUUGGAGGACGAGAAGACCCUAUAGAUCUUUAUAUUAUUUAAUUUGCUUUUAUUUUGGUUAUAAAUUUUUUAGUAUAUUAUUUAUUAUUUUGUUGGGGUGACAUGAAAAUUUAUUUAACUUUUUCAUUUAUUUGAACAUAAAUUAGUGAUUAUUUGAUCCAUUUUUAUUGAUUAUAAGAAUAAGUUACCUUAGGGAUAA